UUGACCACAGAAUCACCAAUGAAAGAACUCCCAUCUCAGCUCAAAAGGAAUAUGUCGACUCAGAGGCUCAGCAUUCUGGUUAUGAAGAUGUUGGUAAAGAGCUUCUCUCAGCAAAAUCUGUCAGUGAAGAAAAGACUGAGUAUUAUGAUGAUGCUGUCACCAGUAGUGGUGAUCUAGGGACAGAAAAUCCACAGGAUAAUUACAAUGACAUCACACAUGGACAGACACCUGAUACUGUAGCAA